CUGAAUAGUAAUAAUAAUACAUUAUGUCAACAGCGGUGACAAAGGAAACACUCAAUGUAUUUAUAGAGCUAAAUAAACGGCAGAUCUAGGUCCUACGUUUUGACUCUGAACAACCUUCUCGGUUGGAUUUUGCUUCUGCCUAAGGAUUAUUUUGGAAAGAGCUAUUAUUAUCCGUGAUUUAUCACGCUGCACUGGGGGGAACUCAUACUUUCCACGGAGACAAUUACUGAAUUCUCACUGGAGGCGCUUAAAGGAGCCAGGACCUGUUCUGAGGGUUCAGGUGGGAAAGGUGUGCCAGCAGGGGACUGCAGCCUGGCACCAUGGGACGUGUGUGCUGUUGACCACUUCUGUGCCCAGAUGCCUCAGGCGCUUUCUCAUUAGAUGCACCCUUCAAUCUCCUGGUUAUUGAAACAGGACUGGGGAGAGGAGUUCACAUUUAUGGUGAGCCCAUGCAAGAAGACCCUCCGACAGGUGCCUGUCACCCCUGAGGAGUCACUGGUUGCAGCCCGUUCUGAAGUGUCAUUGAGAUAGAAACCAAGUCAAAGCCGUGGCCUAGAAAGAGAGUCUGGGCAGAAUUCUGCAAGCAGAUUCUUUAUUUGAGAAACAUGGAUGCCACACCUGAAAGGCAGUGGCCAUUUCGGUAAUCACCUGAGGCAAGAUCAGAAAAAAUCUAAAAGAAUUGCAGAGAUGCUGACCUUGAUGACUUCAAGCUGCUGAACCAAGGAUCACCUGACCCCACAUGCUUCCUGCAUCCUCACUUCAUCUGUUCAUGUUGGGGAGGCUGCACUUAAGAUCCUGUUAUUUGGAGUUUGAUCAUGGACAGGACUUGUGAUGUCACAUGUCAACGGUAGCUGCACCUACUAAAAAAUUUAUCUUUGUUGUUUAAGCAAUAGAGGUGCCAAGUGUCCGCGAAAGGGAAAAGCUGAAAAGUUGAUGAACUAAGCAUGACGUUACUGGAAAUGGAAAAACUGUAGAUUCCUGACUGAAGAAAAAUUAUAUUUACUUACUUAGUUAUUUAUACAUAGAAAAGAGACCAUAUCUUAAAACAAGUGUUACUUGAGAGUGGUUUUCAAGGAUUUCUACUUUUUGUAAAAAACUUAAUUUGGGAGGGUGGGAAGUAAUGCUUUUAAUUUUAAAAAAAUUUAUUGAGUAAUAAUUUAUGUAUCAUGAAAUUUGUCUAAUUUAAGUGAAUAAUUCAAUUAUUUUUUGUACAUUUACCCAUUUGUGCAAUCAUGAAAACAAUCCAGUUUUAGAACAGUUUCAUCGCCCUAGUAAGAUUCCCCAUGCCCAUUUAUAGUCAAUUCCUAUUUUCGCUCUAGCCCCAGGCAACCACUGAUCUACUUUCUCUCUCUAUGUAUUCAUCUAUUCUGGACAAUUAAUAUAAAUGGAAUCAUACAGUAUGUGGUCCUUUAUGUCUAGUUCCUUUCAUUUAGCAUUACGUUUUUGAGGUUCAUCCGUGUUGUAGCAUGUAUCAGUAUUCAUUCCUUUUUUAUCACUGAAUAAUAUUCCAUACUACAGACAUACCACAUUUUAUCCAUUUACCAGUUGAUAGAUAUUUAGUCUUUUUUCCAUAUUUGGCUAUUAUGAAUAAUUUCUUACACUAGAGUGUAACUUGUUUGGUUCCCAGUCUCAAAGCCCAAUGGAGCACAAAUAUAAAUUUAAAUGUAUGAUUAUAUACUAAAUUUGAACAAGUGGUUUGUCAGAAGUGAAAAUACCUUCUACAAUCAACACACAUACAUUGAGUACUUGUUAUGUAUUAAACACUAUUUGAUAUUGUGGAGAAUAUGGUUAAGAUACAGAUGGUUCCCAUUCAAAUGUAGCUUCUAUUCUAUUUGAGGGAGACAGAGUAAGACAGGGAGAGAGGGAGAGAAGGAAGGAAGGAAAGAAGGAAGGAGAAGAAAGAGAAAAGGGGAAAAGGAGUAAUGACAAGUGUUAUGAAGACAAUGAAAUUAAUUAAAAUUAAUAAG
rnacentral:lncRNA from 1 species